rnacentral:lncRNA from 1 species
CUGCUGGAGAGUCGCUACCGAAGCGCCACUAUCAGACCACCUCACACUAUCGCAAAAGCAUCACAGAAUGAGCACACACCCAAACUCAGCAUAGAUUUGAUGAAAUCAUACCGAGGAUGCAUCAUAAAUCAUAAAAUCGUGCCUAGUCGCCACUAUCGCAAAAUCAUCAUAAAAUGAGUGCACACCCAAACCCAGCAUAGAUUUGAUGAAAUCGUGCCUAGUCGCCAUCGCCGCAAGUUCUACUUCUUUGAGAAAAUAAGCUACAGAUCCCCAUCUUUUACGGUUACGCGCCUCAACUCUUCAUUCUUUGGAUUCACAUGAUUGUCUCACACUCAGAUCUGAUUGCUACAUGUCACCUGUCACAUACAUCAGAUCCACCACGUCCUCUUCUCUCUUUGCUACUCUCUCGUCUUUCUCUCCCUCAAUUUCUCUUGCUUUCAUUUUUUUUCCUUCCCUUUUGUAAGCAGGAAUAAGAAAACUCCUCCAUGCCUUACAUCCUUCAUCUACAGUGAGUUUCAGAGGCAUUGUUCCUAAUCCAUACAAGAUUAAGUUUAACAAGAU